rnacentral:lncRNA from 1 species
GCUGGUCUAACGGAAACAACGGCACAUCUACCAUUAUUGAUUGCUUUGAAGCAACAACAUUUGUAAAGUAAGCCUGAAACUGAAAUUUCAUAGCCCUUAAGUUGUUGAGUGAUAACAAUAUGAUUCUGAGGGUCUAGAGAAUGUGUUUUCACCUGUUUUACAGAUACAUCUUCCACGGCAAGCUCUAGUUCCGGGUUCAAGACAGCGAGUUUCAUCGACAGGAACUGCAAAUUAUGUCUCUUGAAGAAUUAGACUUAUUCUCUUUGGUUAAUACUGAAGUGAAAUUACAGAGAAACAUUGUUUCAUUACUUAC